UACAGAGGUCUCAAGCGUUGUUCGGAUUCAUUGGGCGUAAAGGGUGUGUAGGUGGCGCGCUAAGUCGGGUGUGAAAUUUCGGAGCUUAACUCCGAAACUGCAUUCGAUACUGGCGUGCUUGAGGACUGGAGAGGAGACUGGAAUUCAUGGUGUAGCAGUGAAAUGCGUAGAGAUCAGGAGGAACACCGGUGGCGAAGGCGGGUCUCUGGGCAGUAACUGACGCUGAGGAGCGAAAGCGUGGGGAGCGAACAGG
rnacentral:rRNA from 1 species